rnacentral:rRNA from 1 species
UAGGAAUCUUCCACAAUGGGCGAAAGCCUGAUGGAGCGACGCCGCGUGAGGGAUGAAGGCCUUAGGGUUGUAAACCUCUAAAAGAGGGACGAUAAUGACGGUACCUCUUGAAUAGCACCGGCUAACUCCGUGCCAGCAGCCGCGGUAAUACGGAGGGUGCAAGCGUUAUCCGGAAUCACUGGGCGUAAAGGGCGCGUAGGCGGUCUGUUAAGUCCGAUGUUAAAUCCCGGGGCUCAACCCCGGCUAAGCGUUGGAUACUGGCAGGCUAGACGGUUGGAGAGGCGAGUGGAAUUACCAGUGUAGCGGUGGAAUGCGUAGAUACUGGUAGGAACACCCAUUGCGAAGGCAGCUCGCUGGACAACACGUGACGCUGAGGCGCGAAAGUGUGGGGAGCAAACC